GACAACACAAGGCCCAGCGAAUGACACGUGCACAUUCUGCCUGGCUACCUCAGGGAUCUCACCUGUCAACUCUGCACGCUCGCUGACCACCACCGACGUCCUCGACCCAAGUAAAGUCACCAUAUUCCCGCCCUGAACACUGCCCACCACAGCCACCCCACUCCCACCUGUUGGUGGACCCCACACCCCGACUACAGCGUUAGUUGCAGACCUGGCGGCACUCCCUGCCCCACCGGAGCGCGCCGGCAUCAGCACCCGACCUUUCCUGCCAGCUGCCAACCGACAGGGUGCAGCCUGACCUGGGAGACGAAGAUGUGCAGCCUCCCGUCCCUGACCCGCUCCAGCAAUGCCGCCUGGCGUAGACCACCUGCCAGAGGCCUCCGCGGCCGAC